GCAUAUCAAUAAGCGGAGGAAAAGAAACCAACAGGGAUUGCCCUAGUAACGGCGAGUGAAGCGGCAACAGCUCAAAUUUGAAAUCUGGCUUCGGCCCGAGUUGUAAUUUGCAGAGGAAGCUUUAGGCGCGGCACCAACUGAGUCCCCUGGAACGGGGCGCCACAGAGGGUGAGAGCCCCGUAUAGUUGGACGCCUAGCCUGUGUAAAGCUCCUUCGACGAGUCGAGUAGUUUGGGAAUGCUGCUCAAAAUGGGAGGUAAAUUUCUUCUAAAGCUAAAUACCGGCCAGAGACCGAUAGCGCACAAGUAGAGUGAUCGAAAGAUGAAAAGCACUUUGAAAAGAGGGUUAAAUAGCACGUGAAAUUGUUGAAAGGGAAGCGCUUGUGACCAGACUUGCGCCCGGCUGAUCAUCCGGUGUUCUCACCGGUGCACUCUGCCGGGCUCAGGCCAGCAUCGGUUCUCGCGGGGGGAUAAAGGCCCUGGGAACGUAGCUCCUCCGGGAGUGUUAUAGCCCAGGGUGUAAUGCCCUCGCGGGGACCGAGGUUCGCGCAUCUGCAAGGAUGCUGGCGUAAUGGUCAUCAGCGACCCGUCUUGAAACACGGACCAAGGAGUCAAGGUUUUGCGCGAGUGUUUGGGUGUAAAACCCGCACGCGUAAUGAAAGUGAACGUAGGUGAGAGCUUCGGCGCAUCAUCGACCGAUCCUGAUGUUUUCGGAUGGAUUUGAGUAGGAGCGUUAAGCCUUGGACCCGAAAGAUGGUGAACUAUGCUUGGAUAGGGUGAAGCCAGAGGAAACUCUGGUGGAGGCUCGCAGCGGUUCUGACGUGCAAAUCGAUCGUCAAAUCUGAGCAUGGGGGGCGAAAGACUAAUCGAACCAUCUAGUAGCUGGUUACCGCCGA
rnacentral:rRNA from 1 species